GGGUUAUUCUGUCUGAAUAAUCUGGUAUUAUUAUCUGUGUGGUCACAGCAGCACAGGAUUCUGGGGGGCUCACAGGUGUCCAGGCACUGCAAAGAAGUGUCACUAUAACCAGAUACACAAACAUCAAGGCCCAGCCUUCAAGACCCUGUGGAGGUCCCCUAGACCUCCUCCCUCUGCAAGAGAAGCCGGUGCCUGAAGCUCUGGACCUUCCUACUUGUCAUCCAAAGUGGGAUUUCCAGCCUUGUGAGGAGGGUGGGCAGCUCGUGUCCAGCACAGAGACCAUGUGGGCAGCUGCCAGUGAAAGUGAUCCCUGAAUUGCCUGCAGCUCCUGUCCUGCAGAACCAGCAGCCUCCAGGCUCUUCCCAC
rnacentral:lncRNA from 1 species